AAGUCUUCUGGGUAGCGGCUGUUUGGUCACUAAGCUGAAAUGAAAAUAGGCCUGAAACAAUCUUAUUUGUCGGUACGUUUGUGAUGCAAACGUCCAGCAGUGUGGCGCUAUGAUCAGUGAUUCGGGAGGGCAGCUUAAUAGUGUUCGAAC
rnacentral:lncRNA from 1 species